ensembl:lncRNA
CACCCACCCACCCCCACACACACACACACACACCUCUCCAAGCGUACCCGGCUCCACGAGGAGGUAAAAAGGGGCUCAGCCCCCUUCAGGGUUAGUUGUAUGUCCUUUAUAUAAAAAUAGUAAGAAAGUUCAAAUGAUUGAGUGACAGGUUGGCACAAGAUGUGUAAUCUGUAAUCUGCUUCAGCCUGUCAUUCAGAUAUAAUGUCCAUACAGUCCUCCUCCUCCUCCUCUGGGACUCACUGUACACGUUCUUAAAGAAACAGUGACUUCCAACAGUGACUUCCAACAGUAGUUUCCAACAGUGACUUCCAACAGUGACUUCCAACAGUGACUUCCAACAGUGACUUCCAACAGUAGUUUCCAACAGUGACUUCCAACAGUGACUUCCAACAGUGACUUCCAACAGUGACUUCCAACAUGAGUUUCCAACAGUAGUUUCCAACAGUGACUUCCAACAGUGAUUUCCAACAGUGACUUCCAACAGUGACUUCCAACAGUGACUUCCAACAGUGACUUCCAACAGUGACUUCC